UGAUUGAGGGACUCUCGAAAA
rnacentral:piRNA from 1 species